UGGCUCAGAGGUUAAAGCAUCUGCCUGCAAUGCAGGAGACCUAAGUUCGAUCCCUGG
rnacentral:tRNA from 1 species